rnacentral:rRNA from 1 species
AAAAGGGAAGCGCUUGUGACCAGACUUGCGUCCGGUGAAUCACCCAGCUCUCGCGGCUGGGGCACUUCGCCGGCACAGGCCAGCAUCAGCUUGCCGUCGGGGACAAAAGCUUCAGGAACGUAGCUCCUCUCGGGGAGUGUUAUAGCCUGUUGUAUAAUACCCUUCGGCGGGCUGAGGUACGCGCUCCGCAAGGAUGCUGGCGUAAU